rnacentral:rRNA from 1 species
GUUAACCGAAUAGGGGAGCCGGAGGGAAACCGAGUCUUAACCGGGCGUUAAGUUGCAGGGUAUAGACCCGAAACCCGGUGAUCUAGCCAUGGGCAGGUUGAAGGUUGGGUAACACUAACUGGAGGACCGAACCGACUAAUGUUGAAAAAUUAGCGGAUGACCUGUGGCUGGGGGUGAAAGGCCAAUCAAACCGGGAGAUAGCUGGUUCUCCCCGAAAGCUAUUUAGGUAGCGCCUCGUGAAUUCAUCUCCGGGGGUAGAGCACUGUUUCGGCUAGGGGGCCAUCCCGGCUUACCAACCCGAUGCAAACUGCGAAUACCGGAGAAUGUUAUCACGGGAGACACACGGCGGGUGCUAACGUCCGUCGUGAAGAGGGAAACAACCCAGACCGCCAGCUAAGGUCCCAAAGUCAUGGUUAAGUGGGAAACGAUGUGGGAAGGCCCAGACAGCCAGGAUGUUGGCUUAGAAGCAGCCAUCAUUUAAAGAAAGCGUAAUAGCUCACUGGUCGAGUCGGCCUGCGCGGAAGAUGUAACGGGGCUAAACCAUG